GAGAGAGGUCCGACGACAGCAAGGACUGCUAAUCCUCUGCCCCCCCGGUUAGACCCCGGGGCUCACUCG
rnacentral:tRNA from 1 species